AACAAAACAAAAAUUAAAUACCUCACCACAAAAAUCUCACGUUUCACUCGCAAAGAAAAUUGGAUAGCACACCACUCGUGUUUACGCUCGUUUAAUGGCUUUUGCUAGCUCUAAUGUACUCACCACUCGUGCCUUUUUCCACUCGUCUCACUCUCGUGAAUUCGUAUUUUGUUUCAAGAAGACUUAUUGCGGCUUAGAGGGUCGGCUUCAAAUGGGUGCAAAGGAUAAUGUUAGGGUGUAUAGGGUAGGCGGAAACAAGGAAAAAUAAAAAAUCAAAGUAUGUGUGGCAUUUUUUUGGGGGGUAGAAGGAAUGGAUGCUCGGAAGUAACAAGAAAUAAUAACAAAAUAAAACUCACAAGACUUUUCACUUCUUUUUUUUUAUACUUCGAUUUUUUUUCACUUCAAAUACAAUUGAAUAAUACCAAAAUAUCUUCAAAAUUCACGAAAUCCUCUUCUCUUUUUUUUCAAUUUUUUCUUUCUCUCUUUUUUUUUGCUCGAUUUUUUUUCACUUUUUUUUUGAAUUUUUUUU
rnacentral:lncRNA from 1 species